rnacentral:rRNA from 1 species
UACGUAGGGGGCAAGCGUUGUCCGGAUUUAUUGGGCGUAAAGAGCUCGUAGGCGGCUUGUCACGUCGGUUGUGAAAGCCCGGGGCUUAACCCCGGGUCUGCAGUCGAUACGGGCAGGCUAGAGUGUGGUAGGGGAGAUCGGAAUUCCUGGUGUAGCGGUGAAAUGCGCAGAUAUCAGGAGGAACACCGGUGGCGAAGGCGGAUCUCUGGGCCAUUACUGACGCUGAGGAGCGAAAGCGUGGGGAGCGAACAGG